AAAAGUUUUUAAUUAGGUAAUAAAUAUUUUCAUGUCGACUUCUGUACAAUCGUACUUCUUUCUGCAACCAGUGGAGUUACUCCCUGCUGGUCAUUAGAAAUAAUGCAAGUUUAAGGCACGAAAUAAAUUUAUGCCAUGCCUCCGGAAGUUUCCAAGUGACAGCAUGUAAAGGUUAAAAAGAGCAGGAGACCUAAAAAUCAACUUUGAUGAGCACAUCAAUUCAUAGCCUUUAGAUGAACCCAUCCAUGCUUACAGCAGAUAGGAAAGAAAAAUAAGAUUUGAACCAAUUAAAAACAGUUACGAGUUAAAUUUCUUAAUACAAAUCAGGUCUAUAACCAAGACAUUUGCAUAAUUAAAACUGCACUCAUAAAAGCACAGGUUGGCAAGACUUGAUGCUAUAGUAGCACUAUCUCAAUUAUGUUGCAUGACUUAAACCAGGUGUCAUUUUCUAAUCUGGCUUUUGUUUUUCUUUACAGAUCCAUAUGAACAACGCAUUACUGUCCCAGUGCUCAUUGUUGUCAUCACAGUUUUUUUCAUAACAAUGCUUACUGUAGUUCUUGCUGUAGUGUACUGUCGUCGAAAGAGACGAAAAUAUGAAAGAGAGAGCAGAGAAAAUACAGUCUAUGCAACUCCUCAGGUCGAAGAUGCAACCCGAGGUCUGAAUCAGAGGCCAACAGAUGAUUCUUCCGGUCUUUCUCCAACCUCCACCUACAGCUUGGUAGGGCCUCACACUGGACCCGAGGGAACCACUGAGAGAGGCAGGACUCUGCCACAGAGCGUGUAUGCUGAGGUACAAAGGGCCAGAUCCUGAAACAAUUUAUCAGGAAUCAGCAAUUUCCAGUUUUUAAGUGCUGCCUAAGCUGGUGACACAGCAAGCACCAACUCCCCACCAUCACAGCUUGUACAGUUUGUAUCACAGUUGACACACUGGGACCCAUAUAUUCUACUCUGGUACAGAAAGACUUUUUCCACCCACAAACAUUGCAAUACAAACGCUGUUCUUUUUAUUAUCACAAUUGGAGCCAUUAGGUCCCAUAUGAAUCUAAAUGUGAAGACACAUGAGUAGGGGUAAACCGGGGCGAAAGUAACAAGGCGAUUUUCUCAGAGCCCUGACUGCAUUUGCAGUCCAAGCUGUGACAGCACCUUCAGCACGCAACCCUUGAUGGAGCUGCCAAAUAUCGCAUUUUGUCUUCGGAAAACUGCUUUCGAGCACGUCAAGUAAAUUUCGGUAAUCUUUUUCGAUUUAGAAGUUGUGUCUCUCGUUUCAUGUGUCACAGUAAUGAUUAAUCUACAGAUUAUUUAGUGCUUUAACACACCCUGAAGUUUGCCAGAGUUUUUCAGUGUAGGAAUAAAUCGUGUUGAUAUGUCAAGAGUUCCUGUCAGGAUGAAAGUAACACUUGUUACUUUAGCCGAAAGUGUUACUUUCAUCCCGCUACAGUGACCACAAGUGUUUCUUUUGUCCAGCUGCUAAUGUGGUGACUUUCUCUGUGUUGCAGCAUGUAUUGAAACAUGUUUAUGUUAUAUUAUACCAACAGAUUAUGCCAAGAGUGAGGGUCAGAAAGACGGAUAGAGGUCUGAUUCGGCCAGAUGUUUUUAUGCACAUUUUGGAAUUAUGUAUAAAAACAGCUGGAUAGAAACUUGACUAUUUUUGCCUUAUUUUGAGAAUUUAUAUUUAUGUUAUUAAUAUUCAUUUUCAUAUUGUUGAAGAAAUGUUUUAUAAAAUGGAUAGACAUUGCCAAUAAAAACCUUUUCAACAAGUAUAGGGUGGGUUACUUUUGAAACAUUUGAAGAAACUGUAAAUACAUAAUAAAUGAAAAAAUUAAAAUGUAAUUUAUAAAUUUUUUGCAAAGAUAAAGGACAAAAUACAUUUGCAGUUACAUAUUUACAAGGUCAUAGUCACGUAUAUUUAAUAAAAACAAGGGAAACACAAAUCUAGUUGUGUAACUUUUAACCCUCCUGUAGGUUACUUUUGACUCUCCUUACUUUCGACAGUCCUGUGUGUUACUUUUGAUCCAACUGACUUCUGUUUAAAGUGAAAUUAUACGCAAGUCGUUCUACAUUUGUACAAAAUACCACCAUGUGCCCUGGUGAGCAAACUUUACUAUGAAUGAGACACCAUCCUGGAACACUGUAUACAAUUCUAGUUUGCAUGUAUGGUAAGUACACCAAUGAGCAUGUCCAAUUAAAUGCACACCACUUGCAACCGUAGUAGUAGUAGUUUUGAAGCAUGUGUGUAUGUAUGUAUAUUAUUUAACUUAAUAGCAUUACCCCAACAGACACUGUUAUUGCUUCGCUGCGGCAGGCGCCCCUUAUUUUUCUGUAUUGAAGGUGGCAACCCUAAUCAUUAUUGAGACAGUUUGAUGAUCUUUAUUGAUACCACUAUCGAUACUUUUCUAUUACUUGUUAGAAAAACGAGACCCAAGGGCAGUCGGAGAUAACGAUAUUCUGACUUGAAGACAGACAGAGGUGCUUUUAAGAAAUUAACUUGGAACAUAAGUGGCAUCCUUAUCUUUGGCUUUAGUGAAAUUAAGUCAAGCCUUUGACCACUUUGCAAAUUCAGCCAUCCUAGCAAGCAACCAAUUCCCCAAAUGAGAAAUGAAGCGAACAAGGGUGUGAGGUAGGCCUGCAUGAUAUGAGGAAAAUCUGCAAUGUACAAUAAUGUUGUUGAGAUAACAAUAUGACUUGCCAUAAAUAAACAGAUAAUGAAGUGUG